UACUCGCAUCGAUGCCCUACAGGCCCGGU
rnacentral:sRNA from 1 species